rnacentral:rRNA from 1 species
UACGUAGGGUGCAAGCGUUAUCCGGAAUUAUUGGGCGUAAAGAGCUCGUAGGCGGUGUGUCACGUCGGCCGUGAAAACCUGCAGCUUAACUGUGGGCGUGCGGUCGAUACGGGCAUCACUGGAGUUCGGCAGGGGAGACUGGAAUUCCUGGUGUAGCGGUGAAAUGCGCAGAUAUCAGGAGGAACACCGGUGGCGAAGGCGGGUCUCUGGGCCGAUACUGACGCUGAGGAGCGAAAGCGUGGGGGAGCAAACAGG